rnacentral:rRNA from 1 species
UGGGGAAUUUUGGACAAUGGGCGAAAGCCUGAUCCAGCAAUGCCGCGUGUGUGAAGAGGGCCUUCGGGUUGUAAAGCACUUUUGUCCGGAAAGAAAUCCUUGGCUCUAAUACAGUCGGGGGAUGACGGUACCGGAAGAAUAAGCACCGGCUAACUACGUGCCAGCAGCCGCGGUAAUACGUAGGGUGCAAGCGUUAAUCGGAAUUACUGGGCGUAAAGCGUGCGCAGGCGGUUUGCUAAGACCGAUGUGAAAUCCCCGGGCUCAACCUGGGAACUGCAUUGGUGACUGGCAGGCUAGAGUAUGGCAGAGGGGGGUAGAAUUCCACGUGUAGCAGUGAAAUGCGUAGAGAUGUGGAGGAAUACCGAUGGCGAAGGCAGCCCCCUGGGCCAAUACUGACGCUCAUGCACGAAAAGCGUGGGGAGCAAAACAGGAUUAGAUACCCUGGUAGUCCACGCCCUAAAACGAUGUCAACUAGUUGUUGGGGAUUCAUUUCCUUAGUAACGUAGCUAACGCGUGAAGUUGACCGCCUGGGGAGUACGGUCGCAAAGAUUAAAAACUCAAAAUGAAUUGACGGGGUCAUAGCUGUUUCCU